rnacentral:rRNA from 1 species
AUCUAUGUCUAUGCCACCCUAAACAAGCCUGAUCCCUCCCAAUCCCAUCUGAUCUAGGAAGCUAAGCAGGAUCAGGCCUGGUGAGUACUUGGAUGGGAAACCACCAAGGAACACCAAGUGCUAUAGAUG